AAUUGCCCUGGUGGAAAAUAUUCCUGAAGGCCUUAACUAUUCAGAAAAUGCACCAUUUCACUUAUCACUUUUCCAAGGCUGGAUGAAUUUACUCAACAUGGCCAAAAAGUCUGUUGACAUAGUGUCUUCCCAUUGGGAUCUCAACCACACUCAUCCGUCAGCAUGUCAGGGUCAACGUCUUUUUGAAAAGUUGCUCCAACUGACUUCGCAAAAUAUUGAGAUCAAGCUAGUGAGUGAUGUAACAGCUGAUUCAAAGGUAUUAGAAGCCUUGAAAUUAAAGGGUAAGACCAAGGUUGAUAUGCUAUUCUACCACUGGGUGUUCUGUUAAGAUAACUUUGAUUUCACUUAAAAUAAUAUAUAAUUUCUUUAUAGUUAGUACAUUUCACUUAGUACAUAGUACAUUUACAUCUUUGAAAAAUAACUCAAAGUUUUUGAGUGGAGGAACUAAUUAAUAUAUUGGGAUUUAAAAAAACAGUUGCAUAUUAGUGUAAGCAAAAUAAUCUACUGGUCAAUAAAAGAUGAUUAACUAGAAAGAAGAAUCUUUCCCUUUCUGAACACUUCAACAGUGUGAUUACAGAGAAGAACCACUUCGCGUCAGAAUAGACACUGCAUCUCUACUUUUCACUUGCCUGCAAAAUGAAAAUCCUUUUCACGCUAUAUAUUUAAAAAAUAAUAUAGUCAGGUCCUGGAG
rnacentral:lncRNA from 1 species